CUGUCUGGAGUGUCCCUUUAACCCCUUAAGGACCAAACUUCUGGAAUAAAAGGGAAUCAUGACAUGUCAUGUGUCCUUAAGGGGUUAAAGGGACACUGUAGGCAC